UACGGGGGGGGGCAAGCGUUGUUCGGAAUUACUGGGCGUAAAGGGCUCGUAGGCGGCCAACUAAGUCGGAUGUGAAAUCCCCAGGCUCAACCUGGGAACUGCAUCCGAUACUGGAUGGCUUGAAUUCGGGAGAGGGAUGCAGAAUUCCAGGUGUAGCGGUGAAAUGCGUAGAUAUCUGGAGGAACACCGGUGGCGAAGGCGGCAUCCUGGACCGGUAUUGACGCUGAGGCGCGAAAGCCAGGGGAGCAAACGGG
rnacentral:rRNA from 1 species